AUUCUGUGAUGGGGACACGUCCUCAAAAAUUCCUUAAACCUCUCCCAUGUAUCAUAUAAUGAUUCCACAUCAGUCUGGAAGAAGUUAUUAAUCUCUCUUCUCAACCU